rnacentral:rRNA from 1 species
UACGUAGGGAGCAAGCGUUGUCCGGAAUCAUUGGGCGUAAAGCGCGUGUAGGCGGUUACAUAAGUCUGUUGUGAAAGUCGGAGGCUCAACCUUCGAAAGCCGAUGGAUACUGUGUGACUUGAGUACGGAAGAGGAGAGUGGAAUUCCUGGUGUAGCGGUGAAAUGCGCAGAUAUCAGGAAGAACACCCGUGGCGAAAGCGGCUCUCUGGAACGGUACUGACGCUGAGACGCGAAAGCGUGGGGAGCGAACAGG